UACGAAGGGGGCUAGCGUUGCUCGGAAUCACUGGGCGUAAAGCGCACGUAGGCGGCUUUUAAGUCAGGGGUGAAAUCCUGGAGCUCCAACUCCAGAACUGCCUUUGAUACUGAGAAGCUUGAGUCCGGGAGAGGUGAGUGGGAACUGCGAGUGUAGAGGUGAAAUUCGUAGAUAUUCGCAAGAACACCAGUGGCGAAGGCGGCUCACUGGCCCGGUACUGACGCUGAGGUGCGAAAGC
rnacentral:rRNA from 1 species